rnacentral:misc_RNA from 1 species
GCACCGGUCCCGGGACGACCUAUCCGGUCGACUGGGUGUUCGUUCGCCGCGGACUGCCGGUAGAGAUCAUCGCGGAGUUCGACGUGUGGCGGAAGAUCCGGGAUUGGCAGGGAACGGUCGGCUGGGUGCACCAGAGCAUGCUGGACGGCAGACGCACGGCGCGCAUCACCGGCGCCGACCGAGAGCUGCGGAGCGAGCCCGCGGAGGAUGCAGCGGUGGUCGUGCGCCUGUCGCAGGGCGUGAUCGGUCGCCUGCUGGAAUGCGAGGCGGCAUGGUGCCAGAUCGACGCCGAUGGGUAUCGCGGCUGGCUCAAGCGCGACGAGUUCUGGGGCACUUAUCCGGACGAGAAGGUCAAGUAGGCAGGCAAGUCGGCCGGGGCCGCGCUAGUCGAAGUCGUCGGCGAGCGCGGCGCGGACCGUUUCCGGCAUGGCGACCAUAUGACCAUAGGCUGCGUGUGUGAAGCCGACGAUGACCUGGGCGCCGGGCGCGCGGAACUUCGAUAUCUGAGUCGGCGUGAACGGGAAAUGGAUGAACUGCACGGCGGAAGCCUUGCCGUCGGCGCUCGUGCGGUCGAUGUCGGCCUCCGAUACGCCCUUGAUCGUCUCCUCGCCGACGCGAAUGAAGGCCGUGUCCUCGAUGCCGCCGAGGCGGGAGAGCAGUGUCUUGCGCCGGGCGGGAUCGUCGAUUUCGAAGAGGACGGUGGCGACCAAUUCGCGGCCGUUGGGGAUGAGCGGGUUGUAGGCGCUGAGUUCGUCAGCGAUCUGCGCGUCGCCGCCUUUUUCGAUGUACAGCAUCUCCUGCACCUGCAGUCACAUGCUGUCGUAGUCUUCGAAAUGGAAGGUCGCGACAGGCCCGACCUCAAGCCGCCGGUUCUGCUUGCGGGCAACCACGGCAUGCCGACGCGCGGCGCGUACCUUGGCGUACUCGGCAGACGGCAUGAGAUCUUCUCGUGUGAUUUCUCGUUUCAUGGCCAUUGCGUGCUCCACAGUCCUACAGGCCAUAGGCGCGCGCGAACAGUUCGAUCGGAUGGAGCGCCGAUCCAGCCGCUUGCAUGCCGUGGUCCAGGCGCUCCACGCCCUGGACGAUGUGCAUCCCGGCCAGCGGGCAUUAGGACGCCAGGUAGGUCUUGCCGCUGUCGUUGGCCUGGCGCGCGACCGGCCGGCCGACUUUGAGAGCGGUUU